rnacentral:lncRNA from 1 species
CCUUGGCUGUUAAUAUGCUUCUUCUUCUUUGGUGUUUCUUCAAAUCCUUGUUAUAUUUGUGAGAACUCUUCUUUCCCAUCUAGAGGCUCAGGGAGUCAUUGGAAUGCUAGAGGCUUGCUUUCUUGUUGGCUAUUUAUCCCGAAUCUCUGCACCUUUUAUCUGAUCUACUAGAUGGAGGAGCUUUGGCAUAAUAUGUGCUACGGGGUUGCUCCUACAUUGAUCAUUAUGUUGACCCUGGAAUUGAUUUUGAUAAUAAC